rnacentral:rRNA from 1 species
GACGAACGCUGGCGGCGUGCCUAAUACAUGCAAGUCGAACGCAGUGGGGACGGGUGAGUAACACGUGGGUAACCUCCCAUCAGAGGGGAUAACACUUGGAAACAGGUGCUAAACCGAUACUGAUGGAUGGACCCGCGGUGCAUUAGCUAGUUGGUGAGGUAACGGCUCACCAAGGCCACGAUGCAUAGCCGACCUGGAAGGGGGAUCGGCCACACGGGAACUAGGGCAGGGCCAGGACUCCGACGGGAGGCAGCAGUAGGGAAGCUUCGGCAAUGGAAGAAGGUCUGACAGAGCAACGCCCCGUGAGGGAUGAAGGUUUUGGAAUCGAAAAACUGGGUAGUUAGAGAGGCGGUAUCUAACCAGAAAGCCACGGCUAACUACGUGCCAGCAGCCGCGGUAAUAC